rnacentral:rRNA from 1 species
UACGUAGGGGGCAAGCGUUAUCCGGAUUUAUUGGGUUUAAAGGGUGCGCAGGCGGAGGUGCAAGUCAGUGGUCAAAUUGCGGGGCUCAACCCCGUACUGCCGUUGAAACUGCAUCCCUUGAGUGCGCGAGAAGUAUGCGGAAUGCGCGGUGUAGCGGUGAAAUGCAUAGAUAUCGCGCAGAAAUCCGAUUGCGAAGGCAGCAUGCCGGCUCCACACUGACGCUGAGGCACGAAAGCGUGGGUAUCGAACAGG